rnacentral:rRNA from 1 species
GUUGGGAGCUCUCCCAUAUGGUCGACCUGCAGGCGGCCGCGAAUUCACUAGUGAUUAGAGUUUGAUCAUGGCUCAGAACGAACGCUGGCGGCAUGCCUAACACAUGCAAGUCGAACGAAGGCUUCGGCCUUAGUGGCGCACGGGUGCGUAACGCGUGGGAAUCUGCCCCUUGGUUCGGAAUAACAGUUAGAAAUGACUGCUAAUACCGGAUGACGACGUAAGUCCAAAGAUUUAUCGCCGAGGGAUGAGCCCGCGUAGGAUUAGCUAGUUGGUGUGGUAAAGGCGCACCAAGGCGACGAUCCUUAGCUGGUCUGAGAGGAUGAUCAGCCACACUGGGACUGAGACACGGCCCAGACUCCUACGGGAGGCAGCAGUGGGGAAUAUUGGACAAUGGGCGAAAGCCUGAUCCAGCAAUGCCGCGUGAGUGAUGAAGGCCUUAGGGUUGUAAAGCUCUUUUACCCGGGAUGAUAAUGACAGUACCGGGAGAAUAAGCUCGGCUAACCUCGUGCCAGCAGCCGCGGUAAUACAAUCGAAUUCCCGCGGCCGCCAUGGCGGCCGGGAGCAUGCGAC